GUUUUUGUGUGUGUGUGUGUUUGACUCGAGGAGGUCGCGGUUUCCAUGGUGACUUUUGAAGUUUCGUGGCCUCCUCUGAACCUUUGUCAGAGCCAUCAAAUUCUCUGGCUUCCGAUGUUGCACUCCAUUCCUGUGCUGUUGCAGUGUUCACCUGCCCAGCUGAAGACGAACACUUUGGAACACCAGGUAUAUCAUAAUAGAGCGGAUUAGAAGUGGAGCAGCCAGGACUUAAGCUAGAAUCCUGGUAUGGGUACUGACAAUCCAAGUGGCAGCUUAAGCUGUGCCAAAGCGCCGCCCCACCCAAGUAUUUUGAUUGAAUCACUGAGCAUCAGUUAACAUUAAUAUGAAAAUUAUAUUAAUCUUGGAUGCUUUGGGUUAUUUUCUAAAUAUACACUUU